AUACAAGACUGUCUGGGACAAAAUCAUUGUACAGGUAUAUUGUUGUGCCAUCAUGUUCCACUAGAAGCAGUACAUCCUGUUAUUGUCAAAGGAAAGGCAUAGGAACACAUAUUGCUUUAUUUUUUAACUAUAGUCAUAAUAAAUGAUGAAAAAUGAUUUGUGUUUGUAGAUCUGGCAAUCAUAGAAAAGCAAAGCAUGUCAGAAUACACUCAGAUCAUCUACUGGCUUCAGAAGGGAGAUCUGCCUCAGAAAUCAUUGCUGGAUGUGGACAGAACCGAGACAGCUGUGAACUAUCAACACACAAUAAAUCUCAAAAGACAGAUCUCAAGAGAUUAUUAGACCCGGAGUUUGUGUAUGAGUUAUUUAAUUAAUUUAGCUUUUGUAUUAUAUACUUACUUUUAUAUUGCUAAAUAUUAUAUUGAAUGUAGACUGUUAUUGUGUUUUGAAAUACUUGUAUAGCCUACCUAAAAAGAUUUGCAACAGUCUCUUUCUUUUUUAACUUUGCUGUACAAUAAAACAAAUUUCAUCUUGUG